CUACGUGCCAGCAGCCGCGGUAAUACGGAAGGUCCAGGCGUUAUCCGGAUUUAUUGGGUUUAAAGGGUGCGUAGGCCGUUUGAUAAGCGUGCUGUGAAAUAUAGUGGCUCAACCUCUAUCGUGCAGCGCGAACUGUUGAACUUGAGUGCGUAGUAGGUAGGCGGAAUUCGUGGUGUAGCGGUGAAAUGCUUAGAUAUCACGAAGAACUCCGAUUGCGAAGGCAGCUUACCGUAACGUUACUGACGCUUAAGCACGAAGGUGCGGGUAUCGAACAGGAUUAGAUACCCUGGUAGUCCGCACAGUAAACGAUGGAUGCUCGCUGUUGGCCUUUAUGGUCAGUGGCUUAGCGAAAGCGUUAAGCAUCCCACCUGGGGAGUACGCCGGCAACGGUGAAACUCAAAGGAAUUGACGGGGGCCCGCACAAGCGGUGGAGCAUGUGGUUUAAUUCGAAGCAACGCGAAGAACCUUACCAGGUCUUGACAUCCCUCUGACCGCUCUAGAGAUAGAGUUUUC
rnacentral:rRNA from 1 species